UACGGAGGGUGCAAGCGUUAUCCGGAUUCACUGGGUUUAAAGGGUGCGUAGGUGGGCAAGUAAGUCAGUGGUGAAAUCUCCGGGCUUAACCCGGAAACUGCCAUUGAUACUAUUUGUCUUGAAUACUGUGGAGGUCAGCGGAAUAUGUCAUGUAGCGGUGAAAUGCUUAGAUAUGACAUAGAACACCAAUUGCGAGGGCAGCUGGCUACACAAAUAUUGACACUGAGGCACGAAAGCGUGGGGAUCAAACAGG
rnacentral:rRNA from 1 species